rnacentral:siRNA from 1 species
AGCGGGUUGAUGGAUCAUUACCCU